rnacentral:tRNA from 1 species
AUUUAAAUAGCUUAAAUUUAGAGUAUGAUAUUGAAGAUAUUAGGGUGACUAAAAAGUCUUUAAAUA